UUUAUUAAGAAUGGUGGAGGGACUGGCCCUGAGAAACCUAGCAACCUGUCGUAAGUGACAAGUAGCAAGUGAAUAGUUAAUAAUAAAGCUCAUUAUGGAGCUUUAAAUUGUAUUUUUAAAAUUCAAUUUAUAUAUUAACUUGAAACUUAUCACUGAUUGACGCUGGUGCUAAAUCCUGCAGGUUUAACCUGAGAAAUGAGA
rnacentral:ncRNA from 1 species